rnacentral:snRNA from 1 species
AAACUUACUUGGCGCCGGGACCAGGGUGAUCAAGAAUGCCCUGGCCCCAGGUGGUGGCUCGUCUUUGCACUUCGGCGUGUUGAAGCCUGCGACGAUCCCUAAUUGGGCUCGCUCGGAAGCGUAGUUUUUGCUAGUGGAAAGGUCUUCGGAUCAUCCCUU